rnacentral:rRNA from 1 species
GAUGAACGCUGGCGGCGUGCCUAAUACAUGCAAGUCGAGCGAACGGACGAGAAGCUUGCUUCUCUGAUGUUAGCGGCGGACGGGUGAGUAACACGUGGAUAACCUACCUAUAAGACUGGGAUAACUUCGGGAAACCGGAGCUAAUACCGGAUAAUAUUUUGAACCGCAUGGUUCAAAAGUGAAAGACGGUCUUGCUGUCACUUAUAGAUGGAUCCGCGCUGCAUUAGCUAGUUGGUAAGGUAACGGCUUACCAAGGCAACGAUGCAUAGCCGACCUGAGAGGGUGAUCGGCCACACUGGAACGGAGACGCGGUCAAGACGCCUAAGGGAGGCAGCAGUAGGGAAUCUGACGCAAUGGGCGAAAGCCUGACGGAGCAACGCCGCGUGAGUGAUGAAGGUCUUCGGAUCGUAAAACUCUGUUAUGAGGGAAGAACAGAUGUGUAAGUAACUGUGCACAUCUUGACGGUACCUAAUCAGAAAGCCACGGCUAACUACGUG